rnacentral:lncRNA from 1 species
AUGGCUCAGGCAAAAGGAUUGGGAAAAUUGGUAUCUUCACAGCAAAGGAUAAGUUCCUUCUCCCCUCAGCUCCAGGAGCAAAGAACCUUUACCAGUUUUCAACUGCCCCCUCCUGAGCUUUGGCUGAAAGUCAGUUGGGGUUCCAUUUCCUCUUCUUCUGAGGAAGUGAGCGAAUUCCAGAGGCUGCUCUCUCCAUCACUUCCUGUGCCUCACACGUACCAAUGGUGGCUCAACCUUGGCUUAGGACAGCCCAGGAUGGAGACUUCUGGUCAAGAUGGUGGCUUAGAGAAAGCUAAAGUUCAGAUCUCCAGAAACCUUCCCUACCGAAAUCAAACUAUAUGCUCCCAGGGCACCGAAAUUCAAAACAAACAACAGCACAGACCACUGGAAUCUUCCUCCUGGACCUGGAUCAAAAGAAUUAUGUAA